GUAGCCUUGGCUGUCCUGGAGCUCCCUCUGUAGACCAGGCUGGCCUCAAACUCACAGAGAUCCACCUGCCUCUGCCUUCUGAGUGCUGGGAUUAAAGAACCGUGUUUCCCAUGCCAAGCUGUGCUCUUCUGUUCUCUUGUUUUCUCACUGGUGGAAAGUCGGGUCAGGAAACUAAACGUGACUUGAAGCUUGUAACUUCCAUGCGAUGCAUAUUCAACAAAUACCUUCUUCAGGGACAAGUAGGGCUUUAACGUCCUGACUGGGAUCCCUGAAGUGGCUUGUUUGAAACUUGGGAUCUAUGAACCUCCGGCCUGGAUGCUGCCUCUUGGUGAUAUCGGACUCCAACCAGGGGAAAGAUCUCCGGCCGGGGUGCUGCCGCUUGACUUGGGGAAUACCUAAGGACCAGGAAUCCAGAAAGAAAUGUGGCAACCUGGACCGUGGCACCCAGUCACUGUCUUCCAUCAUGUCUACCCAUGAAUGCUUGUCCUGGUUGGCACGGCGGCCGGGGUGCUGUCGUUUGUGGGGAUUCCAGGCUCCCCCUUCUCCCAAGUCCCCCCUCUCUUCAGCUUCAAUUUCUUCUUCCUCCUCCCUUUUGCCUGGAUGCUGGCGCUUCGAGAUCCAGGAGUCUGGAGAGAAGAAAAAGCCGGUGUGGAGAACCUGGUCCCUUCAUUAGGGACGCUUGCCUGCAGGCUGUGACCCACUCCGGCACUUCCAGGAGCCCCUCCCUCCCACGGUCUGCUCCCUAAGCUGUAUAGACCACCCCCCAACCCCCCACAGAUGGUCAAAGACACUGCCUCUGGCUUCCAGCCCCAGCUUCCCUGCUGGGUGACCAUAAGCCACUCCAGUUCUCUGAACCUAUUUUCAAUACAAAAUGGCAACGUGCCCUUAUAGGCAAGGAGAUACAUACAAGUACUUAGUAAACAGUAAUUAAAACUGUCAUGGAUAGGGACCAUAUGAAAUUGUA